rnacentral:rRNA from 1 species
AGAGUUUGAUCAUGGCUCAGAUUGAACGCUGGCGGCAGGCCUAACACAUGCAAGUCGAGCGGAAACGAGUUAUCUGAACCUUCGGGGAACGAUAACGGCGUCGAGCGGCGGACGGGUGAGUAAUGCCUAGGAAAUUGCCCUGAUGUGGGGGAUAACCAUUGGAAACGAUGGCUAAUACCGCAUGAUGCCUACGGGCCAAAGAGGGGGACCUUCGGGCCUCUCGCGUCAGGAUAUGCCUAGGUGGGAUUAGCUAGUUGGUGAGGUAAGGGCUCACCAAGGCGACGAUCCCUAGCUGGUCUGAGAGGAUGAUCAGCCACACUGGAACUGAGACACGGUCCAGACUCCUACGGGAGGCAGCAGUGGGGAAUAUUGCACAAUGGGCGCAAGCCUGAUGCAGCCAUGCCGCGUGUGUGAAGAAGGCCUUCGGGUUGUAAAGCACUUUCAGUCGUGAGGAAGGUAGUGUAGUUAAUAGCUGCAUUAUUUGACGUUAGCGACAGAAGAAGCACCGGCUAACUCCGUGCCAGCAGCCGCGGUAAUACGGAGGGUGCGAGCGUUAAUCGGAAUUACUGGGCGUAAAGCGCAUGCAGGUGGUUUGUUAAGUCAGAUGUGAAAGCCCGGGGCUCAACCUCGGAAUAGCAUUUGAAACUGGCAGACUAGAGUACUGUAGAGGGGGGUAGAAUUUCAGGUGUAGCGGUGAAAUGCGUAGAGAUCUGAAGGAAUACCGGUGGCGAAGGCGGCCCCCUGGACAGAUACUGACACUCAGAUGCGAAAGCGUGGGGAGCAAACAGGAUUAGAUACCCUGGUAGUCCACGCCGUAAACGAUGUCUACUUGGAGGUUGUGGCCUUGAGCCGUGGCUUUCGGAGCUAACGCGUUAAGUAGACCGCCUGGGGAGUACGGUCGCAAGAUUAAAACUCAAAUGAAUUGACGGGGGCCCGCACAAGCGGUGGAGCAUGUGGUUUAAUUCGAUGCAACGCGAAGAACCUUACCUACUCUUGACAUCCAGAGAACUUUCCAGAGAUGGAUUGGUGCCUUCGGGAACUCUGAGACAGGUGCUGCAUGGCUGUCGUCAGCUCGUGUUGUGAAAUGUUGGGUUAAGUCCCGCAACGAGCGCAACCCUUAUCCUUGUUUGCCAGCGAGUAAUGUCGGGAACUCCAGGGAGACUGCCGGUGAUAAACCGGAGGAAGGUGGGGACGACGUCAAGUCAUCAUGGCCCUUACGAGUAGGGCUACACACGUGCUACAAUGGCGCAUACAGAGGGCGGCCAACUUGCGAAAGUGAGCGAAUCCCAAAAAGUGCGUCGUAGUCCGGAUUGGAGUCUGCAACUCGACUCCAUGAAGUCGGAAUCGCUAGUAAUCGUGGAUCAGAAUGCCACGGUGAAUACGUUCCCGGGCCUUGUACACACCGCCCGUCACACCAUGGGAGUGGGCUGCAAAAGAAGUAGGUAGUUUAACCUUCGGGGGGACGCUUACCACUUUGUGGUUCAUGACUGGGGUGAAGUCGUAACAAGGUAGCGCUA